GGGAAUAUAUGCACACGUACGUUUAUACAGUGUGUGCAAGACUUGGCGUUUCAAUCAAUCAUCGUCAAAAUAGCUCGCAGCCACCGUCGCCACAGCCGAUUUAUAGCAACAUCUGACUUCCGCCUUCCGCGGGGUUUCCUUCACCCCCGGUCGCUAAUGCCGAAAUACUGUUCGAUCACGAAUAAUACAACAACUCGGUGAACGCGUAAAUCGCAAAGUGUUA